CACCGCAGUGCAUAAUAAAAAAACUGGAAGCACUUUUAUGACAACAGAAUCUUUUUCAUUCCUUUUCGAUAUUAGCAGCUGAGAUUGCUACGAAGAAACAUUGGGAGAAAAGAGGUAGAGUUCCCUUCUGUCAUCCCGGCAGGACAGCAGAGAUACAAUCACAGGAUCACUGCUCACUGCAGCCUGGAACUCCUGGACUCAAGCAAUGCUCCUGCGUCAGCCUCCCUAAUAGCUGGGACUACAGGAGGAGGAUACAUACAGAAAUCUAAUGAUUUUGAGAUAUGCACUACCUCAAAAAUUGUAUUCUCACUAUUUAGUUGACAUGUUGCGGAAGAUCUUUCAUAGCAUCUAAUCAGGUAUAAUUCCUGAA